rnacentral:rRNA from 1 species
GACGUAGGGCGCGAGCGUUGUCCGGAUUUAUUGGGCGUAAAGAGCUCGUAGGCGGCUUGUCGCGUCGACCGUGAAAACUUGGGGCUCAACCCCAAGCCUGCGGUCGAUACGGGCAGGCUAGAGUUCGGUAGGGGAGACUGGAAUUCCCGGUGUAGCGGUGGAAUGCGCAGAUAUCGGGAGGAACACCAGUAGCGAAGGCGGCUCUCUGGGCCGGUACCGACGCUGAGGAGCGAAAGCUAGGGGAGCAAACAGG